CGCUGGCGGCGUGCCUAACACAUGCAAGUCGAACGGGGAUUUGUUUCGGCAGGAUCCUAGUGGCGAACGGGUGAGUAACGCGUAGGCAACCUGCCCUCCGGCCGGGGACAACACUCCGAAAGGGGUGCUAAUACCGGAUACGAAGUCUGUGCCGCAUGGUACGGAUUUGAAAGAUGGCCUCUGUUUAUAAGCUAUCGCCGGGGGAUGGGCCUGCGUCCGAUUAGCUGGUUGGUGGGGUAACGGCCUACCAAGGCGACGAUCGGUAGCCGGUCUGAGAGGAUGAACGGCCACAUUGGGACUGAGACACGGCCCAGACUCCUACGGGAGGCAGCAGUGGGGAAUCUUCCGCAAUGGGCGCAAGCCUGACGGAGCAACGCCGCGUGAGUUGAGGAAGUUCUUCGGAACGUAAAGCUCUGUUGUUCCUGACGAACCUCCCUUCUAUCAACAACGGAGGGGACUGACGGUAGGGAACGAGGAAGCCACGGCUAACUACGUGCCAGCAGCAGC
rnacentral:rRNA from 1 species